GAGCGGAUGGAUUAAGAGCUUGCUCUUAUGAAAUUAGCGGCGGACGGGUGAGUAACACGUGGGUAACCUGCCCAUAAGACUGGGAUAACUCCGGGAAACCGGGGCUAAUACCGGAUAACAUUUUGAACCGCAUGGUUCGAAAUUGAAAGGCGGCUUCGGCUGUCACUUAUGGAUGGACCCGCGUCGCAAUAGCUAGUUGGUGAGGUAACGGCUCACCUACGCAACUAUGCGUAGCCGACCUGAGAGGGUGAUCGGCCACACUGGGACUGAGACACGGCCCAGACUCCUACGGGAGGCAGCAGUAGGGAAUCUUCCGCAAUGGACGAAGUCUGACGGAGCGACGCCGCGUGAGUGAUGAAUGCUUUCGGGUCGUAAAACUCUGUUGUUAGGAAGAACAAGUGCUAGUUGAAUAAGCUGGCACCUUGACGGUACCUACCCACAAAGCCACUGCUAACUACGUGCCAGCAGCCGCGGUAAUACGUAUGUGGCAAGCGUUAUCCGGAAUUAUUGCGCGUAAAGCGCGCGCAGUGGUUUCUUAAUCUGAUGUGAAAGCCCACGGCUCACCGUGGAGGGUCAUUGGAACUGGGAGACUUGAGUGCAAAAGGAAGUGAAUUCCAUGUGUACCGGUGAAUGCGUAGAGAUAUGGAGGAGCACCAUGGCAAGCGACUUCUGGUCUGUACUGACACUGAGGCGCGAAAGCGUGGGAGCAAACAGGAGUAAUACCUGGUAUCACCCGUA
rnacentral:rRNA from 2 species